UACGGGGGGAGCAAGCGUUGUUCGGAUUUACUGGGCGUAAAGGGCGCGUAGGCGGUCAGCACAAGUCAGUUGUGAAAUCUCCGGGCUUAACUCGGAAAGGUCAACUGAUACUGUGCGACUAGAGUGCAGAAGGGGCAACUGGAAUUCUCGGUGUAGCGGUGAAAUGCGUAGAUAUCGAGAGGAACACCUGCGGCGAAGGCGGGUUGCGUGGGCUGACACUGACGCUGAUGCGCGAAAGCCAGGGAGCGAACGGG
rnacentral:rRNA from 1 species